GGAAUCCUUUUCACGCUCUGCUCAAUUCACCAAAACUCGCGAGUUGGCCCACCCCUCUCCCGCCAUGGGAUAUUACGCAAUUCUAUGGACGAGUAGAUGGAUCAACUACACAUACCGUCUACUACGCCCACACCUGAUGGUAUUGUACCGACUCCUGUCACGAUCCGGCAACGUGAGGCGCAUCCUCACAAAGGGUAGGACAUGAUUCAUCUCGUAAUUUACACGAACGGGACGGUCAGGCGAUCGGUCCAUUGUCAAGGCGUGUCGGACACAGAGAGAUUUCUAUGCUGUUUUUUUUUGCUAUACUCUGCCAUCGUUUCCCUUUGCGACACAUCUGUUUUGGAGAUUACGAAAGAUCAAAAUAUUCUACGAGGAUAAUAAAAUGCAUCUUUUAAUUCCUUUUGAUUGUUCGGUUGUGUGCGGCUCAAAAAAAAAAAAAAAAAAAAGAAGGAAGAAUAUCCAAUAGUAACGAAUGAAUCACCAGCUCGUAAAGAAGGAGAAAGAAGGAAAUGUGAAAAAAAAAGUGAAAGGGCGAAAAAGAUUCCAAUCUCUCCAACCCUUAUUCCUUUUAUCUGAUUUAUUAUCAAACUGAGAAUUCUUUUGCGCAACCAACAGGGAAAAAAAAAAGAAGAUGGUUUCCGUCACUAUUGUUUAUACACACUGCAUCUCAAAACCGAUAAAAAACAACUCGGAGGAAAAAGAAAAUGUUGAAGCUCUUAACCCGUGUGUGUGUGUGUGAUGUCUGUAUAGGAAUCCGUUCUAUACGUAUCCUCAAACUAUUCAGAUUUCAGUAUGUUGUAGAUGCUAUUGUAUAAAAGAGACGAUAUCCUCUUUAUAGGCAUCGCAUAAAGAGAGAGAGAGAGAGAGAGAGACAGA